AGGAAUACAACAGUGGGCAUAGGGACCACAUCUUCAUUAUUCUUUCACCAGCAUUUAAGCUGCAUCUAUUAGUACUGUGAAUAAGAGAAGCUGCACGCCUUCAUCAGCCUGUUGGAAACUGUUUUUAUACACACCAGCUGACUUGGGAUGACUGCCAGCAGCUCUUGACCACUCUGUUUAUGGGCACUGCUAUAUAAACCUGCCAGUGUUAUUAAUGCAUCUCAUGGUGAUUCCUUGGUGUUACUAAAUAUGGAAGAGCAGAGGAGCAGCGCCUUAAAAGCAGAAAAGAGUAUUGCUGUCAAGGGAGGAAAGUACUGCCCCCUUCCCUUUUCUUCUUCAUGUUUUAGGUCUUCACGUAGGAGUCUCUG